CUAUGGGGUCGCACAGAGUCGGACACGACUGAAGUGAUUUAGCAGCAGCAGCAGCAGCGCUUUAACUCCCACUCUGACGUUUUAUAUUUACCAAUUAAGAGCUAACCUGUGAAACCCUAAGUACGCCACACCAGAUCCCAAUAAAAUGGAACCCAGGACUGCAAGUGCUCGUUUGCUCGCGCAUGCUCUCUGUGUCUUUCACGGCGCGCACAUGCUCUUUCUGCAUCUCUACCCGCGGUUUCAAUGUGUGGCCCAGGCGUGCAGCGUAUUCUCCAGCACUUAAUGGACCCUGAAUCCAAUGAUGUGUCCGUACAAGAAACAAACAAGAAUGUGAGGGCAAUCUGGCUAUGACAUCUGUCCUACAAAGAAGACACCAAGACAUAAAACCAUAUGAAGACAGGAGCAGAGAUGGUCAUAAUGCUGCCACAAGACAAGGAACAUCAGGAGCUACAAGAAGCUAGGAGGGGCAAGGAAGGAUUCUCUCCUAGAGCCUUUGGAAGAUGUAUAGACCUGCUGACAUUUUGAUUCCAAACUUCUGGCUUUUAAAACUGAGAAAAUACAUUUCUGUGUUUUAAAGCCA